rnacentral:misc_RNA from 1 species
GAACGCAUAUUGCGCUCUUUGGUAUUCCGAAGAGCAUGCUUGUUUGAGUAUCAGUAAACACCUCAAAACUCUUGAUCUUUUUCAAGCGUUUUGGACUUGAGCAAACCCAACGCCUUUUCUUUUAAGAUCUGUUGCGGCGGGGUGCUUGAAAUGCAGGGGCAGCUGGACAAUCUCCUGAGCUAAAAGCAUAUUUAUUUAGUCCCGUCAAACGGAUUAUUACUUUUGCUGCAGCUAAUAUAAAGGGAGUUUGACCGUAUUGGCUGACUGAUGCAGGAUUUCACAAGGGUCGGCAACGAUUCUUGUAAAACUCGAUCUCAAAUCAAGUAAGACUACCCGCUGAACUUAAG